GUUCGGACUAGAUUACUUACUGACUCCUAUUGCAAUUUCUUAUCCGCAAAACCCUCCCUUCCCAUAUCUUCCUCCAUGACAAGUUCUCAACAAGACACAAUCUCCUCUAAACAACCUACCCAACCCAUCCGUACACAUUCCAUGGUGCUUCGACCCCGUCCCAAAUAACCAUCCGCCCUCACUAGCACUAUCCUCACCAU
rnacentral:lncRNA from 1 species